rnacentral:rRNA from 1 species
AAUAUUGGACAAUGGGUGAGAGCCUGAUCCAGCCAUCCCGCGUGCAGGAAGAAUGCCUUAUGGGUUGUAAACUGCUUUUAUACAGGAAUAAACCACUUUACGUGUAAGGUGUUGAAGGUACUGUAUGAAUAAGCAUCGGCUAACUCCGUGCCAGCAGCCGCGGUAAUACGGAGGAUGCAAGCGUUAUCCGGAUUUAUUGGGUUUAAAGGGUCCGUAGGCGGGCAUAUAAGUCAGAGGUGAAAUCCGACAGCUUAACUGUCGAACUGCCUUUGAAACUGUAUGUCUUGAGUGAGAUUGAAGCAGCUGGAAUGUGUAGUGUAGCGGUGAAAUGCAUAGAUAUUACAAGGAACUCCGAUUGCGAAGGCAGCUUACUAAAAUACAACUGACGCUCAGGCACGAAGGCGUGGGUAUCAAACA